GGGUGCGAUCAUACCAGCACUAAUGCACCGGAUCCCAUCAGAACUCCGAAGUUAAGUGUGCUUGGGCGAGAUAGUACUAGGAUGGGUGACCCCCUGGGAAGUCCUCAUGUUGCACCCC
rnacentral:rRNA from 1 species